GUUGCCGGUUAUGUUUCAUUACUGACCAUGCUAAUUCUGAUAAUUAGAUGGAUGAAAGCUUCAUUUUGUUAUUUUCUGAGGGAACU
rfam:Citrus clementina cultivar Clemenules unplaced genomic scaffold scaffold_5, whole genome shotgun sequence.